rnacentral:rRNA from 1 species
CAGCCGCCGCGGUAAUACGAAGGGUGCAAGCGUUACUCGGAAUUACUAGGCGUAAAGCGUGCGUAGGUGGUGGUUUAAGUCCGUUGUGAAAGCCCUGGGCUCAACCUGGGAAUUGCAGUGGAUACUGGGUCACUAGAGUGUGGUAGAGGAUAGUGGAAUUUCCGGUGUAGCAGUGAAAUGCGUAGAGAUCGGAAGGAACAUCUGUGGCGAAGGCGACUAUCUGGGCCAACACUGACACUGAGGCACGAAAGCGUGGGGAGCAAACAGGAUUAGAUACCCCAGUAGUCCCUGUCUCUUAUAA